AUUCAGCUGACGAGUCCCCUAAUAGGACGAAACGCGAGUCCUGGAU
rnacentral:hammerhead_ribozyme from 1 species